rnacentral:antisense_RNA from 1 species
UUCGUCCAUAUUAUUAUUUUGUUCGUCCA